rnacentral:rRNA from 1 species
AAUCUCUGGGCUUAACCCAGAGGCUGCUUUCAAAACUGCCGUGCUCGAGUGCGAGAGAGGUCAGUGGAAUGCAGGUGUAGCGGUGAAAUGCGUAGAUAUCUGCAGGAACACCCGUGGCGAAGGCGGCUGACUGGAUCGCAACUGACACUGAGGAACGAAAGCUAGGGGAGCAAACAGGAUUAGAUACCCUGGUAGUCCUAGCCCUAAACCAUCAGAACUUGGGGUGGCCCGCGUAGGCGGGUCGUCCCGUAGCUAACGCGUUAAGUUCUGCGCCUGGGGAGUACGGUCGCAAGACUGAAACUCAAAGGAAUUGACGGGGGCCCGCACAAGCGGUGGAACAUGUGGUUCAAUUCGACGCAACGCGAAGAACCUUACCUGGGCUUGAACCGCUACUGACCAACGGUAGAAAUAUCGUCUUCCCGCAAGGGACAGUAGUAGAGGUGCUGCAUGGCUGUCGUCAGCUCGUGCCGUGAGGUGUUGGGUUAAGUCCCGCAACGAGCGCAACCCUUAUUCGUAGUUGCCACCCGCAAGGGGGAACUCUACGAGGACUGCUCCGGAUAACGGAGAGGAAGGUGGGGAUGACGUCAAGUCAGCAUGGCCUUUAUGUCCAGGGCUACACACGUGUUACAAUGCACGGUACAGACUGUUGCGAACCCGCGAGGGGGAGCUAAUCGGAUAAAACCGUGCUCAGUUCGGAUUGCAGUCUGCAACUCGACUGCAUGAAGCUGGAAUCGCUAGUAAUGGCGCAUCAGAUCGGCGCCGUGAAUACGUUCCCGGGCCUUGUACACACCGCCCGUCACAUCACGAAAGUGAGCUGUACUAGAAGUCGCCUAGCCAACCGUAAGGAGGCGAGCGCCCAAGGUAUGGCCCAUGAUUGGGGUGAAGUCGUAACAAGGUAACC